rnacentral:rRNA from 1 species
CGCCUGUUUAUCAAAAACAUGUCUUUUUGUUAAUUAUUUGAAGUCUGGCCUGCUCCAUGAUUAAUUAAAUAGCCGCAGUAUAUUGACUGUGCAAAGGUAGCAUAAUCAUUAGUUUUUUAAUUGAAAGCUGGUAUGAAUGGUCGGAUGAGGAAGAUUCUGUCUCAUUAUAAUUUUAAUUGAAUUUUAUUUUUAAGUCAAAAAGCUUAAAUUUUAUAGAAAGACGAGAAGACCCUAUAGAGUUUAAUAGGUUUAUGUUGUAAUGAAUUUAGGAUUAUAUAUUUAUUAUGGCGUACACUAUUUUGUUGGGGUGACAUAGAAUUUGAGUUAACUUCUUUAUAUGUUUACACUGAUUAGUGAGUACUGGAUCCUGAAGUUUGGAUUUUAAGACUAAAUUACCUUAGGGAUAACAGCGUAAUUCUUUUGGAGAGUUCUAAUCAAUAAAAGGGAUUGCGACCUCGAUGUUGGAUUAAAGUUAAAUUUUGGUGUAGAAGCUAGAAUUUUGAGUCUGUUCGACUUUUAAAACUUUACGUGAUCUGAGUUAAGACCGG